GCCGGGCACGGUGGCACAUGCCUGUAAUCCAAGCAGCCCAGGAGACUGAGGCAGGAGGAUCACAAAUUCAAAGCCUGACUCAGCAACAUGGUGAGGCUGUUAACCAACUUUGAGACCCUGUCUCAA
rnacentral:sRNA from 1 species